AAAUCUGGGUCCACAACAAAAGCAUCAGGCACUCCCAACUACUGAGCCAGCUCUCCAGCUUAAUUUUGGGUUUUUGAGAGAGAGAGAGGGAGAGAGAGAGAGAGAGAGAGAGAGAGAGAGAGAGAGAGAGAGAGAGUCUCAUGUAGUUUGUGGUGACUUCUGAAUGAAAAAAAAGAAAGAAAGAAAGAAGGAGGAUAUGACCCACUCCUAAGGGGUUGUUUUUAUUCCAGAUACAAGGGCGAGCACAGGCAGAAGCAGAGACGUCUGGGAGAAUCCAGAGUGGACAGGACCAUGACUGACCAACUAGCACGUGGUGAGCAUAAGAAAAACAACAAAGCUUCAUCCAGCAUCCACAGCACCAGCACACGUGACUGCUGCAGCGGCCACUGAGAGCGAGAGGGAAAUAUCAGCCCCGGGGAAGAGUAGGAAGCGGUGGCCACAAGGCAGCCUGAAUGCUGGUUUAUCACUUUGGAAUUCAGCUCCACUCAAGCUUUUCAGGAGAUGGGCAGAAGGCAGCAGCAGAGUCUUUUCCAAACUGUAACACGAGUGCCCGUAGUCGGAUUUCCAAGCCUGUCUGAACCUUGGGAACCUGGGGCUCCAUGUCUCUCUCAGCACUCUGGACUUCUGAACUCCUACCAGAAUAUCUCUUUAAGCCCUAAUUACAGCAUCCACAGCUUC
rnacentral:lncRNA from 1 species